UGUCCAGGGGCGGAAUAGAACCCACAACGUUCCGCUUACCGUGCAGAUGCCAUGUCCACUAGGCUACCCUGGAC